UCUUACUCCAAGCAGAUGAGAACUUUAUACACAACCACACGGAUGAUGCAAUGCACGUUUUUCCCUUUGCCGCAGAGAAGAUUGACUACGUUUGGACCUAACUCUGCAAAUUGAUGGAUUCUUAUGCAAUUCAUUCAUAGCUAUGGUGACAUGUCAGUAUGGGGAAUCCUUGCGGAAAGAGUCAACAAGAUAACACUGCAACAUAGCCUUACAUAUUUUACCAAUCAAUUCUGGGAUGGGUCAGAUGCAUCUUGCUAUAUAUGCUUCUCAUAUCUCUUAUUCUUUAUCAUCCUUUGAUUGCUGUGUAGUGUUAGCUAGUGACUGAACCAACAAAUUAAUUAAAGAUAAAAUCUGAUGAAGAUAUUGCAUUGUUAGCAAAA